rnacentral:rRNA from 1 species
CGCCUAACACAUGCAAGUCGAGCGCAGUCCUUCGGGACCGAGCGGCGGACGGGUUAGUAACGCGUGGGAACAUACCCUUCUCUACGGAAUAGCCUCGGGAAACUGAGAGUAAUACCGUAUAAGCCCUUCGGGGGAAAGAUUUAUCGGUGAAGGAUUGGCCCGCGUAAGAUUAGAUAGUUGGUGGGGUAAUGGCCUACCAAGUCUACGAUCUUUAGCUGGUUUGAGAGGGUGAUCAGCAACACUGGGACUGAGACACGGCCCAGACUCCUACGGGAGGCAGCAGUGGGGAAUCUUAGACAAUGGGGGAAACCCUGAUCUAGCGAUGCCGCGUGUGUGACGAAGGCCUUAGGGUCGUAAAGCACUUUCGCCAAGGAUGAUAAUGACAGUACUUGGUAAAGAAACCCCGGCUAACUCCGUGCCAGCAGCCGCGGUAAUACGGAGGGGGUUAGCGUUGUUCGGAAUUACUGGGCGUAAAGCGCACGUAGGCGGACCUUUAA